rfam:Acyrthosiphon pisum strain LSR1 Contig25987, whole genome shotgun sequence.
AAAAAGGCCCUUUUCAGGGCCACCAAACGUUUUUAAAUUAGGACCA